rnacentral:rRNA from 1 species
CUGCCAGUAGUCAUAUGCUUGUUUCAAGGACUAAGCCAUGCACGCCUCAGAAUCACUGCACUGUACAGGAAUCUGCGCAUGGCUCAUUACAUCAGACGUAAUCUGCCGCAAAAAUGUUGCGGUUUACACCGCAAAACUGGAUAACUUGGCGAAAAGCCAAGCUAAUACAUGAACCAAGGGGAGUCCUCCACUGAGAUCUUCAUCCAACGCGGUGCGGGGUCGCCCGUACCGUAGUGAGGUGUCCUGCGAAUGAAUGAAAUUAAAACCAACGCCAGCAGACGCGGCAGCAACAAGCAGUGUUGAAUCAAUUCAUUCCGUGCGAAAGCCGAUUUAUCGGCGCUAUCCUGACGAACAACUGCCCUAUCAGCCAGUGAUGGCCGUGUAGUGGACUGCCAUGGCGUUGACGGGAGCGGGGGAUUAGGGUUCGAUUCCGGAGAGGGAGCCUGAGAAACAGCUACCACUUCUACGGAGGGCAGCAGGCGCGUAAAUUGCCCAAUGCCAAGAAAAUUGAUGGGGCAGCGAAAAGAAAUAGGUUUUUUAGAUGUCCACACGGACAUUUGGAAAUUUACAAUGGGGGAUAUUUAAAGCCAUCCAAUAUCGAGUAACAAUUGGAGGACAAGUCUGGUGCCAGCACCCGCGGUAAUUCCAGCUCCAAAAGCGUAUAUUAACGCUGUUGCUGUUAAAGGGUUCGUAGUUGAACUGAGGGUCGCCAAGGAAACAUGGGCCGUCCCAUUCACCUUCGAAGGCGUGAAGCCAACCCUUGGAACUCACGGCCUGCGAACAUUCGAAACAAAUAUCACGGGAUCGUUACCCUCCAAAUCUCGCGUGCAAUGUACGCAGGGGGGCGUCCGUGUUUAUUACUGUGACAAAAGAAGGGUGACCAAAGCAGUCAUUCGACAUGAAUUAGAAAGCAUGGGAUAACAAAGGAGCGGCCUACGGGCUUCCAUUUUGGCUUUUGUUGGUUUUAAAGGUCUGUGGGAGAUUGUGGUUCCUCGAGCCCGGCCGCACGGGGUACGUCCCCGACGGUCUUCUAGGUCGGCUUCGGCUGGCCUAGACUCGUUGGAGCCAGGAAUGAAGGAGGGUUGUUCGGGGGAGAACGUACUUGAGCGUGAGAGGUGAAAUUCUUAGACCGCUCAAAGACGAACUACAGCGAAGGCAUUCUCCAAGGAUACCUUCCUCAAUCAAGAACCAAAGUGUGGAGAUCGAAGAUGAUUAGAGACCAUUGUAGUCCACACCACAAACGGUGACCCCCAUGAAUUGGGGAGUUUUUGGUUGGGGUAGUUGGGUUCGUCCCAUCUACCUCGCCAAAGAGUUUUCAUGUGCAUGUCCUAUCGGCUUCGGCCACCUACGGGGACAUCCUCAGCACGUUUUCUGACUGUUUGACGCGAAAGCUUAGAGGUUACAGUCUCAGGGGGGAGUACGUUCGCAAGAGUGAAACUUAAAGAAAUUGACGGAAUGGCACCACAAGGCGUGGAGCGUGCGGUUUAAUUUGACUCAACACGGGGAACUUUACCAGGUCCGGACAGGGUGAGGAUUGACAGAUUGAGUGUUCUUUCUCGAUCCCCUGAAUGGUGGUGCAUGGCCGCUUUUGGUCGGUGGAGUGAUUUGUUUGGUUGAUUCCGUCAACGGACGAGAUCCAAUCUGCCCAGUAGAAACCAGAAGUUUCUUAACGACAGCAAUCCGCUUGUUGCUUCGGCUUCAAGUCGGGUACCUCUUCGGUUGGUUUCUUCUCUGCAGGAUUCCUUGCUUUCUCGCAAGGUGAGAUUUUGGGCAACAGCAGGUCUGUGAUGCUCCUCAAUGUUCUGGGCUACACGCGCACUACAAUGUCAGUGAGAACAAGAAUACCGAAGUUUCUUCGGACCCGCAUGAUUCAAUAGUGUGGGGAAACACCGGAAUCACAUCGACCCAAUUGGGACCGAGGAUUGCAAUUAUUGGUCGCGCAACGAGGAAUGCCUCGUAGGCGCAGCUCAUCAAACUGUGCCGAUUACGUCCCUGCCAUUUGUACACACCGCCCGUCGUUGUUUCCGAUGAUGGUGCAAUACAGGUGAUCGGACCGGAGACCUUUGUCUUUGGGAAGUUCACCGAUAUUUCUUCAAUAGAGGAAGCAAAAGUCGUAACAAGGUAGCUGUAGGUGAACCUGCAGAAGGAUC